CCUCCAACAGACACACCUAGUCCUUCAAAGCCACACCUCCACAGAGACCCUUCCUUCUCUGGAGGUAGUUUAAGGUGGUAAUCUGAUAUCACUUCAGGACUUAAACAGAACAGGGUUGGGAGGGUUGUGCGUGGAGGCAGAGAUUUCUCGUUUUGAAUCUAAGCGGGGCUUUUUGUGAUGGCUUUGGUGCUUUCUGCAGAACUUUUUUUUUGUUGUUGUUUAACCAGAACAGUUCCAUAGGCAUUACUUAUGGUCAAAUCAAUGGUUUUUCCAGCAAGGGCUCAUUAAUCAGUUGCUAAGCCGCCACAAAUUACAAGGGAGAAGGAAAACAUCUCCGCAGAGAGGGAAAAGGUACCGGGGAAGCUAACAGCCAAACAGUGAACCACUGUGUGAUUCAAGGACCCCUUUUCCUCCGAUGAGCAGACCCUUCGAGAGACAAGCAUAUUCUGGUAUCUCUGAUUCAGAAUCUAUGUUUCUGGAUGCAGCUAGAGGCACAGUGGUAAACUUCUCAGCACCUUGGUAUUCUAAGAUGAUGUCACCCUUCUGUGGAUGGAUGAAUUAACUACCAGGAUACCUACUCAGAGUUUAAGAGCAUCCCGUAAAAGGAGAUCCCAGAAGGCCAUCGGUGAAGAAUGUGCCUGCUACUGUUGUGUGUGGGCAUCAGGGUCUUAGUGAUGACGUGGGGAACAGGAGGAAGAGAUCCUUUCCCAGUUUUCUACACUGUCCUGGAGGCUUAUGCUGCUUGGGAUGGCUGAGGAGAUACAUUCAUACACAGUUUUCAGCUACAGUGAGUGAUGUCCACCUUGAAAGAGUCUUGGACUCUGGAGAAUAAUGUGCACUGGACAUUCUUGAUGUGGUAAAGAUCGAUGUGUGCUCAAUCUCACGUGGGAACAGCCAGAAGACACCGAAAGGAAGAGUUGCACAAACCCAACGAUCAGUGGAUAUAAACACCUUGAAAGCCACUCACGAGACAAACAUCGAACAGCCAGGAUUCUGGUAGAAGUCACUCCACUCAGCACAUCCUGCGCACAGAAACCUUACUCUCCUCGGCCAAGUCUUACAAUCGUGAAUUUACUUCCUUCACAUUUGCUUCUGGAGGGUGGAGGGAGGCCCAUAAGGUUCAGUAAAGAAAGGAAACUUACAGGAGUGAACAGACUCAUAGGGGCUAAGCAAGCUCUUUAGAAUUAACAAAAGUCACAAGUCUCCUCCCCAAAGUUAUGUAUUGAGUAAUGAUUGCUAAGGAGAGGCAAUUGCCUAAGGAACAGAGUUCUGGUUGAACUCCAGAGACUCAUGCAUUUUCAGGAAUCAUCAGCCAUACUGGGUUGGACUUUUGGUGGUCCAGCUGCCUUUGAAUCAUCGAGUA
rnacentral:lncRNA from 1 species